UCGACCUCCAGGUAAAACUCUGUUUGCGAAAAAAUUGGCCGAACAUUCUGGAUCAUGCCAUAAUGACCGGUGCUUUCGUCGGCGUUAAUAUCUACAAGGGCAGCGAUAAGUUCUACGACAACUUGCUUAUGCCAUUUAUUCACCUAUUCGAUCCACAAUCAUGCCACCGACUGGCUGUGUUCGCGUGUAAAUAUCGUUUGUUCCCCAGAUAGAAACAGAGUGAUCCUAAUUCGUUGUCGGUCAAAUUCUUCGGUCAUGUCUUGAGCAAUCCGUUAGGAGUAGCUGCUGGAUGAGAUAAGCAUGCCGAAGCGGUCGUUGGACUGAAUGACAUCGGAUUUGGAUUCGUUGAAAUUGGAUCGGUUACCCCUUGCCCAAGAUGGAAACCCAAAACCGAGGGUGUUUCGUCUAAGUGAAGACAAAGCAAUAAUCAACAGAUACGGUUUUAACAGCGUCGGUCGAAGAGGCAAUUCAGGCAAUUCGUAAAAGUUCAGAAGGAAAAAAUCAGUCGCUUCCUAAAAGUCAAUCAAUUGCCAAGUGCGUAUCGAAGGCAAGGCGGUAAAAGUUCCAACAUCAGAUUCGGAAGAGUAUUUCCAUCAACGGCCACGAGACAGUCAAAUCGGUGCUCUGGCUAGUCCACAAAGUCAAACGAUUCCGGGUCGAGACUACUUGGAUCAAAUCGAAGCAGAAAUU